rnacentral:lncRNA from 1 species
AACAUAGUUGUUUUGCCUUGUUAAGCAUAAACAGAAAUCUGAAGAAAUUUAACCGAUUAUAAAACAAUGUAAUUGAUUAUUUCUAUCAGAUAUGCAAUGUGCAAUGUAUCUCAACCAAUGAUUCGUUUUCCAUCAAUUAAUACAUAUACCAAACAGUUCAAGCACAAACACAGAUAUAAUCAAGCAAUUGUUUUGCCAUUUUGUUGUUUAAGAAACUAUAAAACAUUUCUUUUGUCAUAAUCAAAAUCUCACAUGUGAAAUAUGGGUUCAGUUGUACAUAGCUCCCCCUAUCAACACAAACUAUUACUUAGCCUGAUUAUUCCCUUUUCCCAACAUUUCUACCAUUUCAUUCUUAAUUUCUGUCUUCAAUAGGUGAUGAUACUUAUAAGUUCUCACACUUAUUGGGUCCACGCUUGCUUUGAUAGGAAUUUGAUGAUUCAAAUGUCUAUUGGGAGGCAGCUCCUGUGGUUCACUGAAAAAUCCUUCAAAAUUCCCCAAGAUCUCUUCCAACUCUACAUUCUAUAUUGAUGUUAGCUGUUUCUCUCCAUUCUGCCUUCCCUCCAAUUCAACACUCCCCAUACUUCCUGCCAAUGUUACCAGUUCAAUCUUAGUUUCUUUCAAUAAUGCCUUAAGUGUAACGACCCUUUUAGUUAGGGAGGGAUCCCUUUUUAUCCUCACUCCUCUCUCCCCUUGGGUGAAACUGAGUUAAAUUCCUCUAAUUAAUCUUAACCUCUCCUCGUGUAGCCAACCAAGCAACUCCUAGAAUGAGAUCCACCCUUCCAAGUUCAAAUAAAUAAAACCUUUCUCUAACCUACAAUCCCUUAUACUGUAAAGAUAAAUCUUUACAACAUCCACUAGUGAUCUUCUGAUGGUUGUCUCCUAGACAAACCUUGUAAGGGAUAGUUCUAUCUACUGUCAAGCCCAAUUCAACCAUGAACUUGUUGGAAAUAAAAUUAUGGCUGACACCAUUAUCAAAUGAAAUCAACACCUUCCUCUCGUUCAACCAACCUUGCAACUUCAUGGUAUUUGUUUGGGUUAAUCCACCUACACAAAAAAAACUGAUAAUGCCUAUCAAUUAUUCUUCCAUCAAUUUCGUUACUUGUCU